GAUGAACGCUGGCGGCGUGCCUAAUACAUGCAAGUCGAGCGAACAGAUGAGGAGCUUGCUCCUCUGACGUUAGCGGCGGACGGGUGAGUAACACGUGGAUAACCUACCUAUAAGACUGGGAUAACUUCGGGAAACCGGAGCUAAUACCGGAUAAUAUAUUGAACCGCAUGGUUCAAUAGUAAAAGACGGUUUUGCUGUCACUUAUAGAUGGAUCCGCGCCGCAUUAGCUAGUUGGUAAGGUAACGGCUUACCAAGGCAACGAUGCGUAGCCGACCUGAGAGGGUGAUCGGACACACUGGAACUGAGACACGGUCCAGACUCCUACGGGAGGCAGCAGUAGGGAAUCUUCCGCAAUGGGCGAAAGCCUGACGGAGCAACGCCGCGUGAGUGAUGAAGGUCUUCGGAUCGUAAAACUCUGUUAUUAGGGAAGAACAAAUGUGUAAGUAACUAUGCACGUCUUGACGGUACCUAAUCAGAAAGCCACGGCUAACUACGUG
rnacentral:rRNA from 1 species